CCUACGGGUGGCAGCAGUGAGGAAUAUUGGUCAAUGGGCGGAAGCCUGAACCAGCCAAGUAGCGUGCAGGAUGACGGCCCUACGGGUUGUAAACUUCUUUUAUACGGGAAUAACGCGCCUUACGUGUAGGGCUUUGCAUGUACCGUAUGAAUAAGGACCGGCUAAUUCCGUGCCAGCAGCCGCGGUAAUACGGAAGAUCCGGGCGUUAUCCGGAUUUAUUGGGUUUAAAGGGUGCGCAGGCGGCAUGUCAAGCGUGCGGUGAAAUGUCCGGGCUCAACCCGGGCCUAGCAGCGCGAACUGGCGUGCUUGAGUCGGCGGAAAGCAGGCGGAAUGCGUGGGGUAGCGGUGAAAUGCUUAGAUAUGACGAAGAACCCCGAUUGCGAAGGCAGCUUGCUGCAGCGGAACUGACGCUGAGGCACGAAAGCGCGGGUAUCGAACAGGAUUAGAUACCCUAGUAGUC
rnacentral:rRNA from 1 species